rnacentral:rRNA from 1 species
GAUGAACGCUGGCGGCGUGCUUAACACAUGCAAGUCGAACGGAAAGGCCACAGCUUGCUGUGGUACUCGAGUGGCGAACGGGUGAGUAACACGUGGGUGAUCUGCCCUGUACUUCGGGAUAAGCUUGGGAAACUGGGUCUAAUACCGGAUAGGAAUCACAUGUGGGUGAGUGGUUGGAAAGCUUUUGCGGUAUGGGAUGAGCUCGCGGCCUAUCAGCUUGUUGGUGGGGUAAUGGCCUACCAAGGCGUCGACGGGUAGCCGGCCUGAGAGGGUGUACGGCCACAUUGGGACUGAGAUACGGCCCAGACUCCUACGGGAGGCAGCAGUGGGGAAUAUUGCACAAUGGGCGCAAGCCUGAUGCAGCGACGCCGCGUGGGGGAUGACGGCCUUCGGGUUGUAAACUCCUUUCGUCAGGGACGAAGCGAAAGUGACGGUACCUGGAUAAGAAGCACCGGCUAACUACGUG